CCUACGGGGGACAGCAGUGAGGAAUAUUGGUCAAUGGACGAGAGUCUGAACCAGCCAAGUAGCGUGAAGGAUGACUGCCCUAUGGGUUGUAAACUUCUUUUAUAAGGGAAUAAAAUGUUCCACGUGUGGGAUUUUGUAUGUACCAUAUGAAUAAGGAUCGGCUAACUCCGUGCCAGCAGCCGCGGUAAUACGGAGGAUCCGAGCGUUAUCCGGAUUUAUUGGGUUUAAAGGGAGCGUAGGUGGAUUGUUAAGUCAGUUGUGAAAGUUUGCGGCUCAACCGUAAAAUUGCAGUUGAAACUGGCAGUCUUGAGUACAGUAGAGGUGGGCGGAAUUCGUGGUGUAGCGGUGAAAUGCUUAGAUAUCACGAAGAACUCCGAUUGCGAAGGCAGUUCACUGGACUGCAACUGACACUGAUGCUCGAAAGUGUGGGUAUCAAACAGGAUUAGAUACCCUUGUAGUC
rnacentral:rRNA from 1 species